rnacentral:lncRNA from 1 species
UUCGCAUCGAUGCGCAGUGGUUCGUGCACAUCUGAUUGGCUGCCAGCUGUCCUAAGCGAUUGCCAGACAUACUCAGGCUGUGCUUGGAAGCUGCCCUCAGCAAUGCUGAGUGAGGCCUGCCUUCCAUGGAGGUGAGGGGCAAGCUUCACUUGGCUUUUGAGACAAAGGAAAACUGCAGGCAACCUGGUCAGGGACUCUUCUGUUUAUGGUGAGGGAUAUCUAAAGAGAAAACAUGAGGCGAGUGACAGAAGUGAUACCAGUAGCUUCUGUCAGGAAAACCUCAGGCUGCCCACUGGAAUCAAAGGAAGCAGCAACAAGCCUGUGCCCAAGCCUCUGUGGAAAGCCACAGAAGACCUGCGCAGCUCUGUUCUAGUGAAGAUGUUGGCACGUUCAUCUGACUGGCGCUCUCAUCUUAAAAAACAGACGAGCUUACUCUGGGAAGUCAGGAGAAGGAAUCUAUAAUUCCAUCUAUAUUGCAAAAUCAUAAUAUAAUAUCUUAGCUUCCUUCCUUCCUCCCUCCCCUCCCUCCC